rnacentral:tRNA from 1 species
GGAGGUUUGGCUCAAGUGGUAGAGUUCCUGCUUAGCAAGCAGGAGGCCUUGAGUUCAACCCCCUGGACUACCA